GAUAAAUGGGGCAGCUACCCCUGGCCCAGUUACUCCCGGGUGGCCGAAAGCAGCUGCCCCAUGGGCCUGCAGCAAUUUAGAGGGGCUUAUCGGGUGUCCAAUGCAUUUAGGACCACACGGUUGGUAUCGCUGAACAGGAGCUCAGUCGGGCCCCACUGCCCUUUAAAAGUGUGACUAGGCCCCUGUAAUACCGUCCGACAGGGAGCAAGUGACAACCGAU